AACGAACGCUGGCGGCAGGCCUAACACAUGCAAGUCGAGCGCCCCGCAAGGGGAGCGGCGGACGGGUUAGUAACGCGUGGGAAUGUACCCUUUUCUACGGAAUAGCCUCGGGAAACUGAGAUUAAUACCGUAUACGCCCGGUAACGGGGAAAGAUUUAUCGGAGAAGGAUCAGCCCGCGUAAGAUUAGAUAGUUGGUGGGGUAAUGGCCUACCAAGUCUACGAUCCCUUAGCUGGUUUGAGAGGAUGAUCAGCAACACUGGGACUGAGACACGGCCCAGACUCCUACGGGAGGCAGCAGUGGGGAAUCUUAGACAAUGGGCGCAAGCCUGAUCUAGCCAUGCCGCGUGAGUGAAGAAGGCCUUAGGGUCGUAAAGCUCUUUCAGUGGGGAAGAUAAUGACGGUACCCACAGAAGAAACCCCGGCUAACUCCGUG
rnacentral:rRNA from 1 species